GCAGUGGUGGUUUUAUGGUAGAAUUACCACCUUCCAUGUGGGAGACAUAGAUUCAAUUCCUGGCCAAUACA
rnacentral:tRNA from 1 species